UGCUAAGCCACUCUAUGCCCAAAGCAAAGCUUCAUCUAACAGACCAGGACCCUAUGGAAACAGCCAUCGAGUGACCCAAGGACGUCACCAUUCUCCCCGCUGCUGUAUAGCACUGUCCUGACACACCAUGAACCCAAGUCCCUGUAUCUUCUCAAGACAUAACAAGACUCAUUGUACACAGUGAAGAGACUCCAUAGAAGGUUCAAACCUGGGCCUGGUUGUUUCCCGUAGCUUCAGAUGGGGGAACUGCCAGGCAAGUGUAAGAUGGUGGGAUCACAGUGGAUCUAGGCCUGCAUGAAGUACUGGGAACAAAAUGUCUCCACUCCCUCCUGAGAUCUCUCCCACUACUGCAGCAGAGGAAAAGAGCAGAAAGGAUUGUCUCGGACAUGCCACCUGGAAGACUCUUUGUCUGUCCUCCCCGGUCCAAUGUCCUAUAUUGAUGGAAAAGUGAUUAAGCCUUCAAUACCACAUUCCAAAUUAUUAGAGACUGGAAGAAAAAUACCCAGGAGAAACUACUCUGUGCAUUGGUAUUUACCUGGUAUAGAGUGCACUUGGGGUUUAGAGUAGAAGGGUGAAGAGAGAACCAUGAAGGGAGAGUUAGGAGAGAAGAAAUGCUAAAACAGCAAGCCACAGCUCUGGGCCACAUCCAGCUAUACCAGGCAAAGCCAGACCUAAGCCCUUUACUCCAGCUUGUUGAAAGGAGAGCAGGGUGGUUUUCUAGUUCAGUUUUCUGGAUUGGCACUCCUGUUAAUCAAGCAUGGGUUCCUCCUCACACUGCCCUCAGGAGUCAGAGCUAGGCAAGGUUCACAGUCCUCGGAUAAUUCACCCAAAAGACCCUUGACCACGGGAAGAUGCCUGCCACCACCCCUUCCAGGCAAGUUUCUUGUCUACAGAUACAGCCAAGAUAACUUGCUACACAUUGGCCAAGGACAACAUGACCCAAGUGGGUAGUUUGUGAACUCCAGGACUUGUUUGUACAAGAAAGAUGAAAAAUAGAGGGUGUGGGGGAAGGUGUAUUACAUUUCCUCUGCUCUUUGGGAAAAUGCAUUGGUUUCCUAUGUUCUCACUACCUGAAAUGCCCCUUGGCCUGCUCCAGUAGAGCGAAUCUCACCACUCUUGAAGGAUGUCCAACCGAUGCCUGGUGACAAAAUUCAUGCUGUUCAGAGGUGUAAACCAUGAAUGGAUAACUGUUGUGAAAGUGUGACAGGUGACACAGAAAGAGAAACUUCCUUUGAUGUUUGGUAUGUGUGGCAUGUGGGAAAGAGGCCAUGUAAGGAUGGAGAGAGUCCAGGAUGAUGUAACCCCAAGCCCAGUUGCCCUGACUGGUUUUAUGUCAACUUGGCAAGUUAAAGUCACCUGGAAGGAGGAACCUCAAUUAAUUAAAAUGCUUCUAUAAGAUCAGGCUGUAUUCAGACAAACCUAUAGGACAUUUUCUUAAUUCGUGAUUGACGGGGAGGGCCUAGUCCAUUAUGGGUGGGAGAAUUCAGUGCUGAUAAUCCUAGGUUCUAUAAGAAAGCAGGUUGAGCAAACCAUGGGGACCAAGCCAAUA